AAGAAAGUAUGCAAGAACUGCUAACUCAUGCCCCCAUGUCUAAUCACAUGGCUUUCUUA
rnacentral:tRNA from 1 species